GGGAACGGACAUCGCCACGCAAGCCCUGCUGUAGGCUGGGUGCGCCACGGCUCAGCUGCCCCGACCAGUCCGCGGCCUCGGGCACCUCCAGGCACGGGGCGCCCACGGCUGUGCGCGGUGCCGGGGACUCGCCGCCGUCCGCAUGAAGAAUUUCACAUCUAACCCAAAUCUCCCCUCGUUUGAUUUAAAACCGUUCCCCUGUGAUAACAGCAGGACAGGGGGAAAUGGUUUGAAGUGGAGGGAGGGCAGAUGGAGGUUGGAUGUCAGGGGGAAGUUGUGUGCUGUGAGAGUGGUGAGGUGCUGGAACAGCUGCCCAGAGAGGCUGUGAUGCCCCGUCCAUCCCUGGAGGUGUUGAAGGCCAGGUUGGAUGGGGCCCUGGGCAGCCUGGGCUGCUGUGAAAUGUGGAGGUUGGUGGCCCUGCAUGGCACAGGGGGGUUGGAGCUUCGUGAUCCUUGAGGUCCCUUCCAACCCGGGCCGUUCUGUGACUCUGUAUCACCCACCAGACUUCCCCCUGCUCUGACCCUUGGUGUUUGGGAUUGAUCCAUUGCUCUUGGAAAUGGUGACUCAGCACAAGUGCGUGGCAACACCCAGGUGCAAAAUGUGACCAGUGAUCAGCCUGGCCCUUGGUGUAUGGCUGCUGGGGGACAACACAGACAGAACCUAAGAAGGAUGGGAAAAGGAGCUAAGCCCUCAACAAAUGGAGAUUGCCCAAGGAGGCUGUGGAUGCCCCAUCCCUGCAGGCAUUCAAGGCCAGGCUGGAUGUGGCUCUGGGCAGCCUGGGCUGCUGGUUGGCGACCUGCACACAGCAGGGCUUGGAACUGGAUGAGCACUGUGCUCCUGUGCAACCCAGGCCAUUGUGUGAUACUAUGAUUUUAUAUAUAUAUAAAAUAAAGCCUGUUGAUUCUUUGAAGCA